rnacentral:rRNA from 1 species
CACGGAGGCCCCGAGCGUUGUUCGGAUUUACUGGGCGUAAAGCGUGCGUAGGCGGCUGGGUAAGUCAGAUGUGAAAGCCCGGGGCUCAACCCCGGAACUGCAUCCGAUACUGCCCGGCUUGAGGGCUGGAGAGGAGACUGGAAUUCACGGUGUAGCAGUGAAAUGCGUGGAUAUCGUGAGGAAGACCAAAGGCGAAGGCAGGUCUCUGGACAGCUCCUGACGAUGAUGCACGAAGGCCAGGGGAGCAAAAAGG